UUAAGAACUUUCUUGCCGGCCAAAAGAAGUCACACUGGAAUUUAAGAUUUGAAUCCUUUAGAUUUCAGGUGACUGUUAGAUUUAAAUUCUAUGGUCCAAAUUGGCAUCAGUCUAUUCUGGCUAUGUUACUCCUUGUGACUUCUAAGGAAAUAUGAACUACAAUAGAGCAGGAGAGGAGAUACAUGAUUUGCUCUGAACUUCACUUGGACC